rnacentral:rRNA from 1 species
AUCCUGGCUCAGGAUGAACGCUAGCGGCAGGCUUAACACAUGCAAGUCGAGGGGAUAGUUCUUCGGAAUUAGAGACCGGCGCACGGGUGCGUAACGCGUAUGCAAUCUACCUUUCACAGAGGGAUAGCCCAGAGAAAUUUGGAUUAAUACCUCAUAGUAUAACACAGCCGCAUGGUUGAGUUAUUAAAGUCACAACGGUGAAAGAUGAGCAUGCGUCCCAUUAGCUAGUUGGUAAGGUAACGGCUUACCAAGGCUACGAUGGGUAGGGGUCCUGAGAGGGAGAUCCCCCACACUGGUACUGAGACACGGACCAGACUCCUACGGGAGGCAGCAGUGAGGAAUAUUGGUCAAUGGACGCAAGUCUGAACCAGCCAUGCCGCGUGCAGGAUGACGGUCCUAUGGAUUGUAAACUGCG